rnacentral:rRNA from 1 species
GACGAACGCUGGCGGCGUGCCUAAUACAUGCAAGUCGAGCGGACAGAAGGGAGCUUGCUCCCGGAAGUUAGCGGCGGACGGGUGAGUAACACGUGGGCAACCUACCCUGUAGAUCGGGAUAACAUCGAGAAAUCGGUGCUAAUACCGGAUAAUCAUUUGAAGUGCAUGCUUCGAAUGUAAAAGAUGGCUCCGGCUAUCACUACGGGAUGGGCCCGCGGCGCAUUAGCUAGUUGGUAAGGUAAUGGCUUACCAAGGCAACGAUGCGUAGCCGACCUGAGAGGGGGAUCGGCCACACUGGGACGGAGACACGGCCCAGACUCCUACGGGAGGCAGCAGUAGGGAAUCUUCCGCAAUGGACGAAAGUCUGACGGAGCAACGCCGCGUGAGUGAUGAAGGUUUUCGGAUCGUAAAGCUCUGUUGUUAGGGAAGAACAAGUGCCGUUUGAAUAAGGCGGCACCUUGACGGUACCUAACCGGAAAGCCACGGCUAACUACGUGCCAGCCGCCGCCGUAAGAC